UACGUAGGGUGCAAGCGUUAAUCGGAAUUACUGGGCGUAAAGCGUGCGCAGGCGGUUUUGUAAGUCGAGAUGUGAAAUCCCCGGGCUUAACCUGGGAACUGCGUUUGAAACUACAAGGCUAGAGUGUGGCAGAGGGGGGUGGAAUUCCGACGUGUAGCAGUGAAAUGCGUAGAGAUGUGGAGGAAUACCGAUGGCGAAGGCAGCCCCCUGGGCCAAUACGUGAACCGCCUCAUGCACGAAAGCGUGGGGAGCGAAACAAGG
rnacentral:rRNA from 1 species